GUUGAAGAACGUAGCAAAAUGCGAUAAGUAAUGUGAAUUGCAGAAUUCAGUGAAUCAUCGAAUCUUUGAACGCACAUUGCGCCCGCCAGUACUCUGGCGGGCAUGCCUGUCCGAGCGUCAUUUCAACCCUCAGGGCCCUCCAGCAGGGCGCUGGUGUUGGGGAUCGGCAGUCCCAGCGGCUGCCGUCCCUGAAAUGUAGUGGCGGUCCCACCGUGACCUCCCCUGUGCAGUACAUCGCUCGCAGAGGGACAGCGGUGCGGCCACGCCGUAAAACGCCCAACUCUUCAAGGUUGACCUCGGAUCAGGUAGGACUACCCGCUGAACUUAAGCAUAUCAAUAAGCGGAGGA
rnacentral:misc_RNA from 1 species